rnacentral:rRNA from 1 species
GAUCCUGGCUCAGGAUGAACGCUAGCGGCAGGCCUAACACAUGCAAGCCGAGGGGUAAGUCUCUUUCGGGAGAACACGACCGGCGCACGGGUGAGUAACGCGUAUGCAACCUACCUUUGGCACGGGGACAGCCCGGGGAAACCCGGAUUAAUACCCGGUAUAGUCUGUUAUACACCUGUAUAAAAGACGAGAGCUACGGCGGCCAAAGAUGGGCAUGCGUGCCAUUAGUUAGUUGGUAGGGUAACAGCCUACCAAGGCAUCGAUGGCUACGGGGUCUAAAAGGAUGAGCCCGCACACUGGUACUGAGACACGGACCAGACUCCUACGGGAGGCAGCAGUGAGGAAUAUUGGUCAAUGGGUGGAAGCCUGAACCAGCCAUGCCGCGUGCAGGAAGACGGCCUUAUGGGUUGUAAACUGCUUUUCUACGGGACGAACGGCUCUGACGUGUCAGAGAUUGACGGUACCGUAGGAAUAAGCAUCGGCUAACUCCGUGCCAGCAGCCGCGGUAAUACGGAGGAUGCGAGCGUUAUCCGGAUUUAUUAGGUUUAAAGGGUGCGUAGGCUGGGCAAUAAGUCAGUGGUGAAAGUCCGCGGCUCAACCGUGGGAUUGCCAUUGAAACUGUUGUACUUGAGUACAGUCGAGGUAGGCGGAAUGUGUAAUGUAGCGGUGAAAUGCAUAGAUAUUACCCAGAACACCGAUUGCGUAGGCAGCUUACCAGCCUGGAACUGACGCUGAUGCACGAAAGCGUGGGGAGCGAACAGGAUUAGAUACCCUGGUAGUCCACGCCGUAAACGAUGAUCACUCGCUGUUGGCAAUA